UAAAUAGUUGUAACUUCAGCG
rnacentral:piRNA from 1 species